GCUGAAUUCAAUCCAGCAAGAAGCUUCUCCUUCAUCGAUAGGGAUUGGUAAAGUCGUGGCCUCAUAUAACUUAAAGACCAAAUUGCUCGACCAGUUAUUGCAGCUUACUUUUGAAGAUUAGUCUAUUGCUUUGGGAUAUCCAUGAUUGGGGAAAUCGUAUUAGUAAGUACUCCUAUAAGAUUAGUCAAUCAUGUAAAGUACCCCAAGGGUCUUGGGAACUCAUCAGCUUUCGCUUUAGAAUGUUAUGUUCGUAUUUAGAAGGUGAUAGUCCAUGUUCGUAUGAUUUGCCGCAGAAUCCACAUCUUCUCCACUCCAAUCAAAUGCUACACAACUCCUUGUGCUUUAUUGAUUCAUUCA